rnacentral:rRNA from 1 species
UACGGAGGGGGCAAGCGUUGUUCGGAAUUACUGGGCGUAAAGCGUGCGCAGGCGGUUUGUUGUGUCUGAUGUGAAAGCCCCGGGCUUAACCUGGGAAUGGCAUUGGAAACUGGCAAGCUGGAGUGUGGCAGAGGGGGGUGGAAUUCCGCGUGUAGCAGUGAAAUGCGUAGAGAUGCGGAGGAACACCGAUGGCGAAGGCAGCCCCCUGGGCCAACACUGACGCUCAGGCACGAAAGCGUGGGGAGCAAACAGG